GGACGCAAAGCAUCAACGAAAUAUUAUGGAUGUCUUCAAGAAAGGGGGAGAGAAAAUCCUGACUGAAGGAAUGUCCACAUAAAUUAUUUUUAUUUAAAUGAAUUCAAAGGAUGGGAUGAGGGCAAGUCAGACGGAGUCGCGUGGAAAACAUGAAUAAUAUUAAUAUGCAUAAAGAAUUCUCACCAACGAGGAGAAGCUCCUCACUACAGCUCUUGGGACAAACAGGUUCAUUAGGAAACAGCUCAGAGCGACUACAGCAUUUUGCUAUUUCAAUUUUUUCCCUUAUUUUAAAUGAAGAGUCAGACAGAUGUGUUUUCUUUGCAUGGCAGCAUUGAGAUGGAUCCAAUCUGCGAAAUUUGCUGCCCAAAUAGCAUUUCUAAUGGAAACUGGAACUAAACAAGGGCACGGAUAUGGGAGGGAGGGGAGAAGAGAGAAUACACGAAGAAGAGUAUAUUCAGAGCCACUGCAUGGCAUUUUGAGUACAGGAGGUUUUCAGGAACGAUCUUUGCUUCAUUAGUCUCCCCUGUGGGCUCCUGAUGUAGGGAGCUAUCAGGGUAUACCAAGAUGAGCACUGAGACAGGCCUUUCUAGGUCUGAGGCUGAGGAAAGCAGCGGCAACUUGGUGCCUGUCCCCCAGAGCUGUCUACAGUUCAGAAGCCAAAAGCACAGCUACUUCUAAUUUGGGGAUGCAGUAGAGUGCCUACUGAUCCAGGUGGACAAAACAAAUCUUUUUUGGAAACCAACGAAACAAAAAUAAUCUGGAGCUGUCUUGGUUGAAGCAGCGUGCGGGAUUCAGACACCUCCCACUCAGACCCCUGCCCUUCCUUCAACAUUGGCAUCUAAAGAAUCUCUCCAGCGUUUGGAGGAAAUCAAGUUGGAAGUUAAGCAAGAAGCAACACAAAAAACUGAGUAACUACAAAGAAGUAAAAAGUAAAAACUCUGCAAGUUGAAUUGUUAGCUGGCAGGCUACCAUGUGAUAUUGGCUCAGAAUUGUCUUGUGUUAGUAAAGAUACAAACAUUUGAAUUCUAUUUAUGAACUUUGAAUUCUGCUUCUGUAAUUAGACUUUUUUUUUUUUUUUUGGACAGAGUCUCACUCUGUCGCUUAGGCUGGACUGCAGCGGAAUGAUCUCAGCUCACUGCAAACUCCGUCUCCCGGGUUCAAAUGAUUCUCCUGCCUCAGCCUCCCCAGUAGCUGUAGCUGGGAUUACAGGUGUGGAUCACCACGCGCAGCUGAAUUUUUUUUUGUAUUUUCAGUACAGACGGGGUUUCACCAUGUUGGCCAGGCUGGUCUCAAACUUCUGACCUCAAAUCAUCCACUUGCCUUCGCUUCCCAAUGUGCUGGGAUUACAGGCAUGAGCCAGUGUGCCCAGCCUGCAUGUUUUUUGUUUGUUUGUUUGUUUGUUUGUUUUUUGAGAUGGAGUAUUGCUCUGUUGCUCAGGCUGGAGCGCGCGAUCUCAGCUCACCGCAACCUCCGCCUUCCAGAUUCAAGCAAUUCUCCUGCCUCAGCUUCCCAAGUAGCUGGGACUGUUACAGGUGCAUGCUGCCACGCCCAGCUAAUUUUUUUGUAUUUUAGUAGAGAAGGGGUUUCACCAUGUUGCCCAGGCUGGUCGGGAACUCCUGAGCUCAGGCAAUCCGCCUGCCUCGGC
ensembl:lncRNA novel transcript